CUUGGUCAUUUAGAGGAAGUAAAAGUCGUAACAAGGUUUCCGUAGGUGAACCUGCGGAAGGAUCAUUACCGAGUUCAUGCCCUCACGGGUAGAUCUCCCACCCUUUGUAUACUAUACCUUUGUUGCUUUGGCGGGCCGCCUAACUACUGGCUUCGGCUGGUAAGUGCCCGCCAGAGGACCCAAAACCCUGAAUAUUAGUGUCGUCUGAGUAAAAUUUUAAUAUUUAAAACUUUCAACAACGGAUCUCUUGGCUCUGGCAUCGAUGAAGAACGCAGCGAAAUGCGAUAAGUAAUGUGAAUUGCAGAAUUCAGUGAAUCAUCGAAUCUUUGAACGCACAUUGCGCCCCUUGGUAUUCCGAGGGGCAUGCCUAUUCGAGCGUCAUUAUCACCCCUCAAGCUUCGGCUUGGUGUUGAGGCCUGCUGUAAAGGCACCCUCUAAAAUCAGUGGCAGUGCUGUCAGGCUCUAAGCGUAGUAAUUUCAUCGCUAUAGGGUCCUGGUGGAUACUCGUCAAAACCCCCCCAUUUUUUAAUGAUUGACCUCGGAUUAGGUAGGGAUACCCGCUGAACUUAAGCAUAUCAAUAAGCGGAGGA
rnacentral:rRNA from 1 species